rnacentral:rRNA from 1 species
CGAGCGAACGGACGAGAAGCUUGCUUCUCUGAUGUUAGCGGCGGACGGGUGAGUAACACGUGGAUAACCUACCUAUAAGACUGGGAUAACUUCGGGAAACCGGAGCUAAUACCGGAUAAUAUUUUGAACCGCAUGGUUCAAAAGUGAAAGACGGUCUUGCUGUCACUUAUAGAUGGGUCCGCGCUGCAUUAGCUAGUUGGUAAGGUAACGGCUUACCAAGGCAACGAUGCAUAGCCGACCUGAGAGGGUGAUCGGCCACACUGGAACUGAGACACGGUCCAGACUCCUACGGGAGGCAGCAGUAGGGAAUCUUCCGCAAUGGGCGAAAGCCUGACGGAGCAACGCCGCGUGAGUGAUGAAGGUCUUCGGAUCGUAAAACUCUGUUAUUAGGGAAGAACAUAUGUGUAAGUAACUGUGCACAUCUUGACGGUACCUAAUCAGAAAGCCACGGCUAACUACGUGCCAGCAGCCGCGGUAAUACGUAGGUGGCAAGCGUUAUCCGGAAUUAUUGGGCGUAAAGCGCGCGUAGGCGGUUUUUUAAGUCUGAUGUGAAAGCCCACGGCUCAACCGUGGAGGGUCAUUGGAAACUGGAAAACUUGAGUGCAGAAGAGGAAAGUGGAAUUCCAUGUGUAGCGGUGAAAUGCGCAGAGAUAUGGAGGAACACCAGUGGCGAAGGCGACUUUCUGGUCUGUAACUGACGCUGAUGUGCGAAAGCG